AUUGAACGCUGGCGGCAUGCCUUACACAUGCAAGUCGAACGGUAACGCGGGGCAACCUGGCGACGAGUGGCGAACGGGUGGGUAAUGUAUCGGAACGUGCCCAGUUGUGGGGGAUAACUGCUCGAAAGAGCAGCUAAUACCGCAUACGACCUGAGGGUGAAAGCGGGGGAUCGCAAGACCUCGCGCAAUUGGAGCGGCCGAUAUCAGAUUAGGUAGUUGGUGGGGUAAAGGCCCACCAAGCCAACGAUCUGUAGCUGGUCUGAGAGGACGACCAGCCACGCUGGGACUGAGAAACGGCCCAGACUCCUACGGGAGGCAGCAGUGGGGAAUUUUGGACAAUGGACGCAAGUCUGAUCCAGCCAUGCCGCGUGCGGGAAGAAGGCCUUCGGGUUGUAAACCGCUUUUGUCAGGGAAGAAACGCUCUGGGUUAAUACCUCGGGGUAAUGACGGUACCUGAAGAAUAAGCACCGGCUAACUACGUGCCAGCAGCCGCAGUAAAAC
rnacentral:rRNA from 1 species